rnacentral:misc_RNA from 1 species
AAAGUCGUAACAAGGUUUCCGUAGGUGAACCUGCGGAAGGAUCAUUACAGAGUUCAUGCCCUAACGGGUAGACCUCCCACCCUUGAAUAUUUUACCUUUGUUGCUUUGGCGGGACGCUUCGUCCACCGGCUUCGGCUGGUGAGUGCCCGCCAGAGGACCCUAAACUCUGAAUUUAUUGUCGUCUGAGUACUAUAUAAUAGUUAAAACUUUCAACAACGGAUCUCUUGGUUCUG